rnacentral:rRNA from 1 species
GAAGGGGAGUGAAAGAGAACUUGAAACCGUGUGCUUACAAGUAGUCAGAGCCCGUUAAUGGGUGAUGGCGUGCCUUUUGUAGAAUGAACCGGCGCGUUACGAUCUGAUGCAAGGUUAAGCAGGAAAUGUGGAGCCGUAGCGAAAGCGAGUCUGAAUAGGGCGUUGAGUAUUUGGUCGUAGACCCGAAACCAGGUGAUCUACCCAUGGUCAGGUUGAAGUUCA